rnacentral:rRNA from 1 species
UGCAGUCGAGCGGCAAGGGGGAGCGAUCUCCCCUAGAGCGGCGGACUGGUGAGUAACGCGUGGGUAAUCUGCCUUUGGCAUGGGGAUAGCCACUAAAAAUAGUGGGUAAUACCGGAUACGUUCCACGAGGGGAGGACUUGUGGAAGAAAGGGGCUAUGGCGCCGGCCGAAGAUGACCUCGCGUCCCAUUAGCUAGUUGGUGAGGUAAGGGCCCACCAAGGCCAUGAUGGGUAGCCGGCCUGAGAGGGUGUACGGCCACACUGGGACUGAGAUACGGCCCAAACUCCUACGGGAGGCAGCAGCUAAGAAUAUUCCGCAAUGGACGAAAGUCUGACGGANCGACCCCGCGUGGAUGAAGAAGGCCAAAAGGUUGUAAAGUUCUUUUGCUGGGGAAAAAUAAGUGNGGAAGGGAAUGCCCGCACGAUGACAUGAACCGGUGAAUAACCCCCGGCCAACUAC